rnacentral:rRNA from 1 species
AGUGAACGCUGGCGGUAGGCCUAACACAUGCAAGUCGAACGGUAGCACAGUAAGAGCUUGCUCUUACGGGUGGCGAGUGGCGGACGGGUGAGGAACACAUCGGAAUCUACUUUUUCGUGGGGGAUAACGUAGGGAAACUUACGCUAAUACCGCAUACGACCUACGGGUGAAAGCAGGGGAUCUUCGGACUUUGGGCGCUUGAAUGAGCUGAUGUCGGAUUAGCUAGUUGGCGGGGUAAAGGCCCACCAAGGCGACGAUCCGUAGCUGGUCUGAGAGGAUGAUCAGCCACACUGGAACUGAGACACGGUCCAGACUCCUACGGGAGGCAGCAGUGGGGAAUAUUGGACAAUGGGCGCAAGCCUGAUCCAGCCAUGCCGCGUGCGUGAAGAAGGCCUUCGGGUUGUAAAGCCCUUUUGUUGGGAAAGAAAAGCAGCAGGUUAAUACCCCGCUGUUCUGACGGUACCGUAAGAAUAAGCACCGGCUAACUUCGUG